rnacentral:tRNA from 1 species
GGGGGCGUAGCUCAGUUGGUUAGAGCGCCUGCCUGUCACGCAGGAGGUCGCGGGUUCGAGUCCCGUCGUCCCCG